rnacentral:lncRNA from 1 species
ACAUACAAUCGGCUGAUUUUAUCUUCUCUAACUACAUUUCUGCUUCAGAGGCUUUACUUGGUGGGAAUCAUCUUCCAGACUCCCCAAAGCUGGCUUCUGCCCAACUCACAAACCUCAUCUCACAUGUUGCUCUUUUCCCCUCUUUCACCAGUUCCAGGCACACAGACUUCCUGUCAGUUCUUGGUCAAGCAAGUUCUCGUCCACCUGAGGACCUUGUCCUUGCCUGUUCUUCCGUCUGCCUGGAAGGCUUUCUUCUGUCUUCUGUGCCUGGCUCCUUCCCCACCUUCCGGCCUCACUUGAGAUGUGAUCUUCUCUGACCAUCUUAGCUGAAGUUGGCCUCCUCUCCCUUAAUCUCCAUUGAGCUAAACAGUUUCUUUCAUCUAGAACUUACUAUAGUAAUUAUGUGUUUACUAGUUCACUGUCUGGAAUCGUUUACCCUAGAGCAGUCUACGAUGUAAAGCCAGGAUGGUCAAACUACAGCGCAAGCUUUGUUUUUGCAAAGCUCUGGAGCUUCCCUCUCUGCUGGUCACUCAUUCUUCUCUCUCCUGCUGCCAUAUGAAAAAGGACCCGUUUCCUUCCCCUUCUGCCAUGAUUGGACCUGGGAGUGCGACAUGGUGGCCUCAGGGGAAAAGGGCUCUCGUCUAGACCUUCUGACUGUCCUCUGGAUCUUCCUGGUGUCCAUGCGGGGCUGCUGCUCUGGGCUGGCCCCAGGGCCUUUGGCCAGUGUCCAUGAGACCCGGAAUUCCAGCAACCAGUUUGACAACUCCUACAGAGAAACAGGAUCCACAUAAGGAUACAGCUUCUUCAUAUCCCUGUCCCAUGACUUCACCCUGCGUUCUUCAACCAAUCAAUGUGUCAGGCCUCUGAGCCCAGGCCUGCACGUAUACAUCCAGAUGGCAUGAAGUAACUG